GCCACAAUUCAACCCUCUCAACUAUUCCCAGAAAUUCCAAAAACUCCUUUAAAGCAGCAAGUGCAGGGCAUGAAAAGGAGGAGCCAUGCUAGAGGAGAGCCUGGGAAUGGGGAAAUGAUUACAGGCUGUGACCUCACUGGCGCAGCCCCUCUCAGCGGCAGUGGAAAGCACAGACUAGACUUCUCACCACUGCACACCAGAAUCCUGCCCUGGGCCUUGCCUGGUCUGCCUGACUCUGCCAUGGGCUGCAGGCUCCUCUGCUGUGUGGCCCUCUGCCUCCUCCAAGCAGGUUCCUUGGACACAGCUGUUUCCCAGACUCCAAAAUAUCUGGUCAGGCAGACGGGAAAAAACGAGUCCCUUAAAUGUGAACAAAAUCUGGGCCAUAAUGCUAUGUAUUGGUAUAAGCAGGACUCUAAGAAAUUGCUGAAGAUAAUGUUUAUCUACAAUAAUAAGGAGCCCAUUUUAAAUGAAACAGUUCCAUAUCGCUUCUCACCUAAGUCUCCAGACAAAGCUCAUUUAAAUCUUCACAUCAAGUCCCUGGAGCUUGGUGACUCUGCUGUAUAUUUCUGUGCCAGCAGCCAAGACACAGCCCUGCAGAGUCACCACAUCCCUGUGCACAAACCUCCCGGAUCAGCUAGGAAGCUGUGGGCCAGUGUGUGCACCUGCACCCAAGGCUCCAGUCUCCACUCCCUGACGGCCUCUGAUGGAGUUUCAGUCUGUAGCACAGCCGGCUAGUGCACCUGAUGUGGCAGUUCUCCAUUUGAUGUACACAGAACUCUCCGAAUUCUGUUUAUCAGCUAAAGCAGGGGUUCACAACAAAGUCAGCAAAGUAUCAGGGCUCAGCUAACAAAACAGGAGCCUGUCCCAUGCACUGAAGAUCUUAACUGAUGGGAGAAGCCAUUUCUUAUCUUUGUCGGCUGCACAUAUGGGUACAUAUUUUAGCUAACGUUACGAUUACAAACGCAGUGUUGGUAAAAAUGGUUGAUGAGCAUAAGCAUAAAGGAAGGGGAAGGAAAGCAUUUCUAAGAUCAAGAGACAAUUUGGAUUAUCAGUGAGUACUUUAUUUAACAGAGAAAUAUUUGGAGGGGCAUGAAAUUCCAUGGCAAUAGGUAAACUGGAAAGUGUUGAGGAGAAGCCGGUGGAGGCAGCCUUGUGCCUUGUAGACUCCUUCUCUUCAAGAAGGGUGACCAGCGAGAGUCUCUCCCAAUUCAGAUGAACGUCUUCUUGAACUCUCCUCAACAGCAAGUGAUAGCUUGAUGACAGGGGAUAUUGGGAGACAUGCAAAGGACUUUGGAAACAAAUCCCUAGGUAGUGGUGAGCCACUGGUCCUACUCCAAGUGAAACAACAUGAUGAAACUGAUAUUUUGGUACAGGAACACUGAAAGUAGUAUGAAUCAGAAAGGAGAUAGAUUUUGGGGUGGUCUGAAGGAUUAGGAGACUUCUAAAUAUCCUCCAUGAAAGAAAGGGUUUAUGUAAAGCAUUGCGGACGAUAUACACUUGAGGCUCUGGAUUAUGUUAUCUCUUGGAAAGAGUGUUGGGUUUUAUUCUGGGAGGGUUAAAUGUAGGACUUGUUAGGGUCUAUUUCAGCUUCGCCCUCCCUCUUAGGGAGCCCCAGCACGUGGUCAUCAUUGCUAGUGCAUGGCCUUCCCAGGGUCUUAGUGGGAAUCACAGUGUAUUCACCACAUCACUCCACUGUAACUGGGUCUGAAUGCCCUGGCUCUUCUGAAAUCUCUGCCCUUGUCUUCAGCCUUCCAGAACUUGUUCUCUUCUCAGCCUUCGGGUCUGCCACCCUCUGCAUACACAAUUUAGGAUCUGGCUCAGGAAAAAAAAGGGGGGGGCAGGUUUCUUACAUAUGAUUUUUGGGUUCCUUUUUAGUACACUGUGUCCUAAAUCC